UUGACCUCAAAUCAGGUAGGACUACCCGCUGAACUUAAGCAUAUCAAUAAGCGGAGGAAAAGAAACUAACAAGGAUUCCCCUAGUAACUGCGAGUGAAGCGGGAAAAGCUCAAAUUUGAAAUCUGGCAGUCUUUUUUUUCUUCUUUGGCUGUCCGAGUUGUAAUCUAGAGAAGUGCUUACCUGCGCUGGAC
rnacentral:rRNA from 1 species